GAAGCGGCUGCCAUCACCACUACACCUGCACCUUUUAUAAAGCUUAUUAUUACCACUCGAAAUCACAACUUUACCCACGUGCCCUUAAAACAACGUGCAUCGCUGUGAAAAUGGCCCGAACGAAAUUCUCUCUCCCUCUCUCUCUCUCUCUCUCAAAAUUGUUCUAACCGCUCCCGAAAAUCCGCUCCAAUUCCAUCUCCAGUAAACACAUGUGCGUUUCGAUCAAAUAAGUGUGAGUGAAACACCACCAGUAGCAGCAGCUGUCAAAAUGUCCUUCAGUCAACACAAACACGUUUUACGCUCGGCCGCCCAAUGUGUUCGAAAAGGAAGGAAAGCGCGUGUGGGAAAAUAAAGGGCAAACGAAAAAAAAAAGCGAAAACGAGCAGAGAAAAACACUUCCUUCCUCAAAUAAGGGGUUUUGUCUCGCAGUUCUCGAGUUUUGUGUUUUGUGUGCAUAUAUAUAACCUUUUGUCAGCAUGGCUAUCCUGUAGGAAAGGUUUUGUUUGCUUUUAAGUUCCCGUUUUUUAUGGCAGUGUUUUUGCGUGGUGUAGCUGACCAACCAUUCACAAGGGACCUGAGCGUGGCUGUGGGCUGUGCAACAAAAUUCAGCAUCCAUCAGCAGCAGCAGCAACACGAUUUUGAUUACGUACCAAUUUUGUGGCCUCCUCCAACCGUCGUACACCGCCGUCCCCAACGGGGUUGCAUUUGCGUCACCAGCUUCCGGAUGGCAAAGUUACGCAGCAUCUUCAAAAAACAUCUGAUCCCUAACCUCGAGCGCAAAUGUCGUCUGUGCCUGUCGGAUAAGGAAAUCGUACAGUCGAUCUUUCAGUCGGAAAAUAGCAAAGAAACGACCGACACGCUCGUGGAGAAAAUAUUCGAAUGUACUGCAAUAAUGCUCUCCAAGGAUUACGAUUUCCCGUCACCGAUCUGCGAGGACUGUGCGCUAAAGUUGGAUGAAUUUCUACUGUUUCGCACGAAAUGUUUGCGCAGCAACGAAAUCUAUCGCUUCAAUCGUCUUCACAAGCAACGAUUGCUCUUCACCCGGAAACCACUUCUCCCCGAGGAGUGCGGAACAGGUGAUAAGCCGGACACGGAAUCGACGGCAUCAACGGAUGAACCGGAUGGCGGUGUUUGCAACGCGGAGGAAAUUAUUGUUCCAUUAACCCAGUUCCCGGUUCCAGCGGUCGUUAUCGCUGAGGCAAGUGCAUCGCUGAGCAGUUCCGACAGUCGGACGGUUAUAGAGACGGAACAGCACGCGACCGAUGUGACAGAGAUGGAAUCGACAAUGGCAAACGGAGUACAGGAGCCUGAACCUGAGCACGGUCCACCAAUGCAACGAGAACAGCAACCGGACACGGAAAGAGCAUGCAAUGGCAAUCAUCGAGGUUCAUCCUCGUCCGGGGUAGAUGAACCGGACGAGGAGCGUAUCCCAAAGUGGAAAGCACCACCUGAUCCGGACGAUAGUGAAAGCACCAGUAGACUUUCUCCCGCACCGGUGGUACUUCUCCUGGAUGAAACGGACACAACCGUAAGCGAAGCAGAGGAUGGUGAGGAGGUGAUACUUCUUCCAGCGGAACUCCUGGACCCGUGCUCUACUGGCGAAGUGCAGCAGUACGAAGAUAUCGACGGAUUGAAAUUUCCUAUCGAAACAAUCGAGCAGCUAGAGCAGUUGGAACGAUUGGUCAGGUCGUGCGACACUGCAAAGGAACGCUAUAUCAGCAUCCUUCGGCGGUUGAAAACACCCGAUACCUCGCUCAGUGACACAUAUCAACGGGUGUUCGCGGACCGGCUGCUGAUCCACUAUAACUACGAUGGCAUCUCGCCAAAGUACAACAAACGACCACUGAAAACGUUGUUACUGUUCACCGACUGUAUGGCUGUGGCUUGGGAGGACCAUAUGGAUGUUGGCAGGAUACGGGAAGCGGUAAUAGAGGCUGUGAGAAAAUCCCAUCACCGUUACAACCAGUACAACCAUCGUAAGGUAAGCAAGCAUGGUUUAAGCUGUUUCAAAGCGUAGAUGUAACUGAUCGUUUUACUUCUUCCUGACUGCGGGACAUUCAAAGCGUGCCAGUUACGAAUGGUUAUAGCUGAAGAUACCCCACUGAGAGCGAUGAUGAAGCAACAACUGCCAGCCUGCGCGUCUGAAGUUUGCGGAACCGUGGAGCCGCGUUAGUUAAGUAUUUUAUCAAAAAAAAAGCCCGGGAGUUCACGUCAAACACUGCUCUAGCGACACAACCUUUUUCUACCAACACACACACACACAGACACCUAGUUUAGACGAGUAUCAAAGUGUAGCUAGAGCAAAAAUGGCUGCUAGUGGCAGAAGGUAGUAGUGAGUGACUAUUUAGUGAAGAUGAGUGAUGAUAAGGAGGACACCGUGUUAAGAGUAGUGCGUUUAGCCGAUCGAACCAAAUUACACCGCGCAAUUUGCAGCAGUAUUAGUAGUGGUAGCGAAAAAAAAUUCUAUUUAGCAAAAACAUUUCACUAGUGACUAGUGUGCGUGAUACAAAUGUAGGUGAGCAGCAAAUUAGUUCGUAGAGAGCUCCUAGUUCCGUGGAAAACUCGAACAAAUCAAGUGAUAGAUUUAAAGGGAGAAUGAUGCUAGCCAACGUCCUGCGAAACGGAACGGCUGCUGUUUCAUUCUUGGUAGCGUCGUUGUACGUGUGUGUGUGUGCGUUGGACGGAGUGUUUCGGUUGCCCUUAGGGGAGGGCCAUACAAUCCAUUGCUCCGUGAUGGACGUUAUGUUCUAGUAUAUUCUAGUUUUGUUCUUAAAUCCUCAGUACAUGAUACUUUUAUAUCGAAAUCGAGUUCGAGUGGUUGUUUUAAAGCGCGUUAUUACGUACAAGUUUUUUUAAAAAACAACUGUUUUGUACCUUUGUAUCGUGGGACGAUUUUGUCCAUGUUUUUAAUCUAACCUUAGCAGUGCAACACCGCACAACACUACGGCAAAAAAAAAACCGAAGGGGACCAGCAUAGGACACACGGAAUCCCCCGCUGUUUCGCUGCCUCCAAACAAUGUUCGCCUACUUACAAUUUUAAACAAACUGUUACAAUAAUAUAAUGAUAAACACUACGAUGCAACAACAGCAACAAAAAAUCCACUUGCGUACUUCCUACCACGUAGCGUAAGGUUUAAAAGCAAUAUCGCUACUUGGGGCUCGAUCGAAUUGCGAACGAUGGAUGUGAACAACUUUAUGGCUGUGUGUUUCCCCCGCGUGUGUGCGUGUGCGAAAAGUUUUGUGUCGAGCGAGACAAAAUGGACGCGUUACUUUCGCUUCUCUGUUAGGUGAUAAAUCUUCUUCACGUGCACGCUGAAUUGGCUUGUGCAACGACGAAAUGGCAUUAUGCUAUAGAGAGAACGCGAUUGAUAGUAACACUUGCAUGAGAUGCACGAUUGGCCAGCAAAAGGCACAUGUGUGUGUAGACAUUACUGGAAAAAGAGGAAUAAAAACACAAAGCAAUCUUCCGGUGAAAUCCGUUCUUAGAAGGUGUUUCAUCUACCAUCACACACGUUGGGUCAAGAUUUCAUUUUAAUCAGCAGUAAACCGAGCAGCUGUUUUUUUUAGCUUUAACAAUUAAACUAAGAAAAAUAUGACUCAAAGAAAUAGAAAUUACCGAUCUAAAAGCAGUUUUUUUAUUGUAGAUCAUACGCUGGCAAAUCUAAGUACCAGGUACUAGGCGUCUCCAUUGGAAUAUUUUAUUUUUAAAUUCUUGUGUUCUACAUAUGAACGUUGGACAGAAGCUAACGGUGGGUCAUUAUUACCCAUCUCACCAAGUUUUUACUAAGAGUAAUAAAAGGGUUAAAAGAAUCGAGUAGGCCCCCCUAGAAUCUUUUGUGUGCAGCACUGUGGCCUGUCAUUUUUAUUGCACAGUGGGAUUUCUGUAUGGUCAUAACUCGUUUGAUAUAAACAUUGUGCAUUGUUCCCUAAUACUAUUACUGGACAGCGAGUGUUGUGUGGAGAAAUGUUAUAAUUCUUAUUUUUCCUCCUUUUCCUGAAUAUAUAUACCCGUUAACAAGUAUCCAUCGAACCAAUAUUCCGUUACAGUCCGGGAACAUCGUGUAUGUUGUAAGCCUGAAUGAUCACUCCUAGCGUGACCAAAAAUUAUUACCUUGCUCCUGUAAGCCAAUUAAAAUGGUCAGAAUAGAGGGAGGGGGAUUUAAUCGAAUAAUAAGCAAUAUUUCAUUCGACUUUAUUCAACCAUUUUUGACCACUCUGAAAGCACACUGUGAAGCUUUCGCAACGUGUACUGCGGA